rnacentral:rRNA from 1 species
GACGAACGCUGGCGGCGUGCCUAAUACAUGCAAGUCGUGCGGACCUUUUAAAAGCUUGCUUUUAAAAGGUUAGCGGCGGACGGGUGAGUAACACGUGGGCAACCUGCCUGUAAGACUGGGAUAACGCCGGGAAACCGGGGCUAAUACCGGAUCGUUUUUCCUCCGCCUGGAGGCAAAAGGAAAGGCGGCUUCGGCUGCCACUUACAGAUGGGCCCGCGGCGCAUUAGCUAGUUGGCGGGGUAACGGCCCACCAAGGCAACGAUGCGUAGCCGACCUGAGAGGGUGAUCGGCCACAUUGGGACUGAGACACGGCCCAAACUCCUACGGGAGGCAGCAGUAGGGAAUCUUCCGCAAUGGACGAAAGUCUGACGGAGCAACGCCGCGUGAGUGAAGAAGGCCUUCGGGUCGUAAAACUCUGUUGCCGGGGAAGAACAAGUGCCGUUCGAACAGGGCGGCGCCUUGACGGUACCCGGCCAGAAAGCCGCGGCUAACUACGUG